GACGAACGCUGGCGGCGUGCUUAACACAUGCAAGUCGAACGGAGGAUACAUUGAAACCUAGUGAUAUGUAACCUUAGUGGCGGACGGGUGAGUAACGCGUGGAUAACCUGCCUAUCUGACCGGGACAACACCUGGAAACGGGUGCUAAUACCGGAUACGCUCAUCUAGUCAAAAGAAUAGAUGAGGAAAAGGGGAAACCCGCAGACAGAUGGGUCCGCGUCCCAUUAGCUAGUUGGAGGUGUAAGAGACCCCCAAGGCGACGAUGGGUAGCCGGCCUGAGAGGGUGACCGGCCACACUAGAACUGAGACACGGUCCAGACUCCUACGGGAGGCAGCAGUGGGGAAUCUUCCGCAAUGGGCGCAAGCCUGACGGAGCAACGCCGCGUGAGUGAAGAAGGCCUUCGGUUGUAAAACUCUGUCAUCAGGGAAGAAGAAAGUGACGGUACCUGAGGAGGAAGCCCCGGCUAACUACGUG
rnacentral:rRNA from 1 species